UACGGAGGGAGCUAGCGUUGUUCGGAAUUACUGGGCGUAAAGCGUAUGCAGGCGGAUCGUUAAGUCGGGGGUGAAAUCCCGAGGCUCAACCUCGGAACUGCCUUCGAUACUGGCGAUCUUCGAGUCCGGGAGAGGUGAGUGGAACUCCUAGUGUAGAGGUGGAAUUCGUAGAUAUUAGGAAGAACACCAGUGGCGAAGGCGGCUCACUGGUCCGGUACUGACGCUGAGGUGCGAAAGCGUGGGGAGCAAACAGG
rnacentral:rRNA from 1 species